GACGAACGCUGGCGGCGUGCUUAACACAUGCAAGUCGAACGGAAAGGCCCUGCUUUUGUGGGGUGCUCGAGUGGCGAACGGGUGAGUAACACGUGAGUAACCUGCCCUUGACUUUGGGAUAACUUCAGGAAACUGGGGCUAAUACCGGAUAGGAGCUCCUGCUGCAUGGUGGGGGUUGGAAAGUUUCGGCGGUUGGGGAUGGACUCGCGGCUUAUCAGCUUGUUGGUGGGGUAGUGGCUUACCAAGGCUUUGACGGGUAGCCGGCCUGAGAGGGUGACCGGCCACAUUGGGACUGAGAUACGGCCCAGACUCCUACGGGAGGCAGCAGUGGGGAAUAUUGCACAAUGGGCGGAAGCCUGAUGCAGCAACGCCGCGUGCGGGAUGACGACCUUCGGGUUGUAAACCGCUUUCGCCUGUGACGAAGCGUGAGUGACGGUAAUGGGGAAAGAAGCACCGGCUAACUACGU
rnacentral:rRNA from 1 species